UCUAACUCUUAAAUCGAAGUGCGGAAUGAUGAAUCCAUGUUUUCUGAAACGCACUCACUAAUACUCCUACGUGCAGUUCAUAAUGUUAGGUCUGGACUGUACGAAGCUAGGUGAAGUCGGUCGAAUGUUACCGUUAAUCAAACUGAUGCUUGAACGAAAAUCCACAUUUGGACGUAACAGAUAGACCGGGUGUCUAUAAA
rfam:Bacillus sp. 2_A_57_CT2 genomic scaffold supercont1.15, whole genome shotgun sequence.